UACGUAGGGGGCUAGCGUUGUCCGGAAUCAUUGGGCGUAAAGCGCGCGUAGGCGGCCCGGUAAGUCCGCUGUGAAAGUCAAAGGCUCAACCUUUGAAAGCCGAUGGAUACUGCCGGGCUGGAGUCCGGAAGAGGCGAGUGGAAUUCCUGGUGUAGCGGUGGAAUGCGCAGAUAUCAGGAGGAACACCAAUAGCGAAGGCAGCUCGCUGGGACGGUACUGACGCUGAGGCGCGAAAGCGUGGGGAGCGAACAGG
rnacentral:rRNA from 1 species